UGGGGAAUUUUGGACAAUGGGGGAAACCCUGAUCCAGCAAUGCCGCGUGUGUGAAGAAGGCCUUCGGGUUGUAAAGCACUUUUGUCCGGAAAGAAAUCCUUUGGGCUAAUACCCUGGGGGGAUGACGGUACCGGAAGAAUAAGCACCGGCUAACUACGUGCCAGCAGCCGCGGUAAUACGUAGGGUGCGAGCGUUAAUCGGAAUUACUGGGCGUAAAGCGUGCGCAGGCGGUGAUGUAAGACCGAUGUGAAAUCCCCGGGCUUAACCUGGGAACUGCAUUGGUGACUGCAUCGCUGGAGUAUGGCAGAGGGAGGUAGAAUUCCACGUGUAGCAGUGAAAUGCGUAGAGAUGUGGAGGAAUACCGAUGGCGAAGGCAGCCCCCUGGGCCAAUACUGACGCUCAUGCACGAAAGCGUGGGGAGCAAACAGG
rnacentral:rRNA from 1 species